ACUCCUACGGGAGGCAGCAGUGGGGAAUCUUGGACAAUGGGCGCAAGCCUGAUCCAGCCAUGCCGCGUGAGUGAUGAAGGCCUUAGGGUCGUAAAAGCUCUUUCGCCAGGGAUGAUAAUGACAGUACCUGGUAAAGAAACCCCGGCUAACUCCGUGCCAGCAGCCGCGGUAAUACGGAGGGGGUUAGCGUUGUUCGGAAUUACUGGGGCGUAAAGCGCGCGUAGGCGGAUCGGAAAGUUGGGGGUGAAAUCCCGGGGGCUCAACCCCGGAACUGCCUCCAAAACUAUCGGUCUAGAGUUCGAGAGAGGUGAGUGGAAUUCCGAGUGUAGAGGUGAAAUUCGUAGAUAUUCGGAGGAACACCAGUGGCGAAGGCGGCUCACUGGCUCGAUACUGACGCUGAGGUGCGAAAGUGU
rnacentral:rRNA from 1 species